UACGUAGGUGGCAAGCGUUGUCCGGAAUUACUGGGUGUAAAGGGCGUGUAGGCGGGACUUUAAGUCAGAUGUGAAAUCUCCGGGCUUAACUCGGAAGUUGCAUUUGAAACUGAGGUUCUUGAGUGAUGGAGAGGAAAGCGGAAUUCCUAGUGUAGCGGUGAAAUGCGUAGAUAUUAGGAGGAACACCAGUGGCGAAGGCGGCUUUCUGGACAUUAACUGACGCUGAGGCGCGAAAGCGUGGGGAGCAAACAGGAUUAGAUACCCUGGUAGUCCACGCUGUAAACGAUGAUUACUAGGUGUGGGAGGUAUCGACCCCUUCCGUGCCGCAGUUAACACAAUAAGUAAUCCACCUGGGGAGUACGGCCGCAAGGUUGAA
rnacentral:rRNA from 1 species